rnacentral:lncRNA from 10 species
AACAUCCUUGGAUCUGUCCCUCCUCUCCCUUCUCACGGCACUGCCUCUUAUGAUCUCAGUGAGUACAGUGGUCUCCAAACUAGUCCCCUGCCUCAGUUCUCCCUCCUUCCUAUCCUCACUCAACUCAGCCUCCAAAUGAUCUUGGUGAAAAUCAGUCCUCAUGCUACUCCCAAGCUGAAAACUCCAACUGCUUCCCAAGCUCCAACUCCUAAGCUCCAACUGCUUCCCAAGCUCCAACUGCUUCCCAUGGAUGGAUAGAGAGCAUGUCUUUAAAGCGCACCUCACCACACAGGCUCCCGGCACCCCUGGUUGGGAUAAUGCCCCCCUCUGCUCCCACACCUCUGUAGGAAGCUCUAAAGAAGCAGCGCUGCCCCUGCCUAGCGGAGGAGACUGGGACUCCCCACAUCUCUCUGUGUUCCCAGAUUGAGCCGGGCAAGAUCACAUCUGACAUCUGCACAUCUCAGCGCCCAGCCCCUGCCUGGCUCAGAGUGAAGUGUCUUCCAAUCCAUUGAAAUUUCUAGUCCCGGGGUCUCGAGGACACUAGGGCCACUGUGCAAUGGCAGAAGGAGCAUUGCCAUAGAAGUCAGGGGGCCUGGUUACAAGUCCUGACUUUAGUUGAGGACCUGCCAUAUGACCUUGAGCAAACUGCUGUACUUCUCUGGAUCUCAGUUUCUACAACCUAAUUCACUGGGCCCAGCCUGCAGCCUGCAAGCACCGGAUGAGUGGACGUGGCUGAGCAGCCAUGAGAAAGAUGUGGGGCUCUCCGGUGACUGUAGACCCAGCAUAAAUCAACAGUUCAAGGUGCUCAUCCCCAAAGCCAUGGUGAGACCUUAGCUGCUGUAAUAAAAGUGUAGUGCCAAAGUAAGGGCAAUGACAGUCUUGCUUGGUUUUAUGCUGGAGCUCAACUCUGGGCCACACUCUUUUGUGGGGGGUGGGUGGUAAUUAUCUUUUUUAAACAAGACACUGGCUAUAUACAGUCAAGUGUGCAAGGCUUAAGUAUACAACUCAUGUAAUUUUCCCACAUUUAUAUACCUAUGUAGACAUUCAAAUGAAGAUACUAAACAUUUCCAGCCCCCAAGAAAACUUCCUUAAAUUCCCUCCUGGUCAAUCUCCCUCAAAAGUAACUAUUUAUAAUAUAUAUAAAAUAAUAUAUUUAUAGUACUAUUCUGACCUUUAAGACUGUAGAUUAGUUUUGGCUUUUU